GGAGCUGUAGUGUAGCGGUUAUCACGUCGGCCUGUCACGCCGAAGAUCGCGGGUUCAAUUCCCGUCAGCUCCGCCA
rnacentral:tRNA from 1 species